rnacentral:rRNA from 1 species
AGAGUUUGAUCAUGGCUCAGGAUGAACGCUAGCGGGAGGCUUAACACAUGCAAGUCGAGGGGCAUCACGAGGUAGCAAUACUUUGGUGGCGACCGGCGCACGGGUGAGUAACACGUAUGCAACCUACCCUGUACAAGGGGAUAACCCGGAGAAAUUCGGACUAAUAUCCCAUGAUGAUAUUGAGGGGCAUCCUUUAAUAUUUAAAGCUCAGGCGGUACGGGAUGGGCAUGCGGAACAUUAGCUAGUUGGCAGGGUAACGGCCUACCAAGGCUACGAUGUUUAGGGGACCUGAGAGGGUUAUCCCCCACACUGGUACUGAGACACGGACCAGACUCCUACGGGAGGCAGCAGUGAGGAAUAUUGGUCAAUGGGCGCAAGCCUGAACCAGCCAUCCCGCGUGAAGGAAGAAGGCGCUAUGCGUUGUAAACUUCUUUUCCAGGGGGUGAAUAAUUCCGAUGUAUCGGGAGAUGACGGUACCCUGGGAAUAAGCAUCGGCUAACUCCGUGCCAGCAGCCGCGGUAAUACGGAGGAUGCGAGCGUUAUCCGGAUUUAUUGGGUUUAAAGGGUGCGUAGGCGGAACAAUAAGUCAGUGGUGAAAUUCUGCAGCUUAACUGUAGACUUGCCGUUGAUACUGUUGGUCUUGAGUAUGGUCAAGGCAGGCGGAAUGUGUAAUGUAGCGGUGAAAUGCUUAGAUAUUACACAGAACACCGAUUGCGAAGGCAGCUUGCUGGGCCAUUACUGACGCUGAUGCACGAAAGCGUGGGGAUCGAACAGGAUUAGAUACCCUGGUAGUCCACGCAGUAAACGAUGAUCACUCGCUGUUGGCGAUACACAGUCAGCGGCUAAGCAAAAGCAUUAAGUGAUCCACCUGGGGAGUACGGCCGCAAGGCUGAAACUCAAAGGAAUUGACGGGGGCCCGCACAAGCGGAGGAACAUGUGGUUUAA